rnacentral:rRNA from 1 species
GACGAACGCUGGCGGCGUGCUUAACACAUGCAAGUCGAACGGUGAAGCUCCAGCUUGCUGGAGUGGAUCAGUGGCGAACGGGUGAGUAACACGUGAGCAACCUGCCCCUGACUCUGGAAUAAGCGCUGGAAACGGCGUCUAAUACUGGAUACGAGAAGGGCCCGCAUGGGCACUUUCUGGAAAGUUUUUCGGUUGGGGAUGGGCUCGCGGCCUAUCAGCUUGUUGGUGAGGUAAUGGCUCACCAAGGCGACGACGGGUAGCCGGCCUGAGAGGGCGACCGGCCACACUGGGACUGAGACACGGCCCAGACUCCUACGGGAGGCAGCAGUGGGGAAUAUUGCACAAUGGGCGAAAGCCUGAUGCAGCGACGCCGCGUGAGGGAUGACGGCCUUCGGGUUGUAAACCUCUUUCAGCAGGGAAGAAGCGAAAGUGACGGUACCUGCAGAAGGAGCACCGGCUAACUACGUG